rnacentral:rRNA from 1 species
AUACGGAGGAUGCGAGCGUUAUCCGGAUUUAUUGGGUUUAAAGGGAGCGUAGGUGGAUUGUUAAGUCAGUUGUGAAAGUUUGCGGCUCAACCGUAAAAUUGCAGUUGAAACUGGCAGUCUUGAGUACAGUAGAGGUGGGCGGAAUUCGUGGUGUAGCGGUGAAAUGCUUAGAUAUCACGAAGAACUCCGAUUGCGAAGGCAGCUCACUAGACUGUUACUGACACUGACGCUCGAAAGUGUGGGUAUCAAACAGGAUUAGAUACCCUGGUAGUCCACACAGUAAACGAUGAAUACUCGCUGUUUGCGAUAUACAGUAAGCGGCCAAGCGAAAGCAUUAAGUAUUCCACCUGGGGAGUACGCCGGCAACGGUGAAACUCAAAGGAAUUGACGGGG